AUUGAACGCUGGCGGCAUGCUUUACACAUGCAAGUCGAACGGGCUGGGGGCAACUCCAGUCAGUGGCGAACGGGUGAGUAAUACAUCGGAACGUACCUCGUAGUGGGGGAUAACUCGGCGAAAGCCGUGCUAAUACCGCAUAUGCUCUACGGAGGAAAGCAGGGGACCGCAAGGCCUUGUGCUAUGGGAGCGGCCGAUGUCCGAUUAGCUAGUUGGUGAGGUAAUGGCUCACCAAGGCGACGAUCGGUAGCUGGUCUGAGAGGAUGAUCAGCCACACUGGGACUGAGACACGGCCCAGACUCCUACGGGAGGCAGCAGUGGGGAAUUUUGGACAAGUGGGGGCAACCCUGAUCCAGCCAUGCCGCGUGCGGGAAGAAGGCCU
rnacentral:rRNA from 1 species